rnacentral:misc_RNA from 1 species
UCCGGCUUAUCACCGGCGGUUUCUUUAGAGUGCCCAACUAAAUGAUGGCAACUAAAGACGAGGGUUGCGCUCGUUGCGGGACUUAACCCAACAUCUCACGACACGAGCUGACGACAGCCAUGCAGCACCUGUGCAUCCUGGUAUUGCUACCUCGUCAGGCUUUCACCCUUCUACUAGAUGCAUGUCAAGGCCAGGUAAGGUUCUUCGCGUUGCAUCGAAUUGAGCCACAUACUCCACCGCUUGUGCAGGCCCCCGUCAAUUUCUUUGAGUUUUAAUCUUGCGACCGUACUUCCCAGGCGGCACGUUUAUCGCGUUAGCUUCGCCACAAAAGGGGUCGAUUCCUUUUACAGCAAACGUGCACCGUUUAUGGCAUGGACUAC